rnacentral:rRNA from 1 species
AGGGUUCGAUUCUGGCUCAGGAUGAACGCUAGCUACAGGCUUAACACAUGCAAGUCGAGGGGCAGCAUGACGAUAGCUUGCUAUUGUUGAUGGCGACCGGCGCACGGGUGAGUAACGCGUAUCCAACCUUCCCUAUAGUAGAGGAUAGCCCGGCGAAAGUCGGAUUAAUACUCUAUGUUUUCCAAUGCAGACAUCUAAGUUGGAAUAAAGGUUCACCGCUAUAGGAUGGGGAUGCGUCUGAUUAGGUAGUCGGCGGGGUAACGGCCCACCGAGCCUACGAUCAGUAGGGUUCUGAGAGGAAGGUCCCCCACAUUGGAACUGAGACACGGUCCAAGCUCCUACGGGAGGCAGCAGUGAGGAAUAUUGGUCAAUGGGCGAGAGCCUGAACCAGCCAAGUAGCCGUGCAGGAUGACGGCCCUAUGGGUUGUAAACUGCUUUUAUACGGGGAUAAAGUGAGGGACGUGUCCCUUUUUGUAGGUACCGUAUGAAUAAGGACCGGCUAAUUCCGUGCCAGCAGCAGC